GCCGAAAUAGCUCAACUGGUAGAGCAACUGACUUGUAAUCAGUAGGUUGCGGGUUCAAGUCCUGCUUUCGGCACCA
rnacentral:tRNA from 5 species